GUGCUCAUUCUGGCAGCACAUAUACCAAAAUCAAAACAACACAGAGAAGAUUAGCAUGGCCCCUGUGCAAGGGGGAAUAUGCAAAUUUGUGAAGCGUUCUACUUUUAA